rnacentral:rRNA from 1 species
CAAAAGCCUGAUCCUUAUUCUUCUUUUUUUUCUUUUCUGUUUGAAUAUAUCGGCUGGUACCGCCAGUGAAAGGGUUUUCCCCAUCUUUGUAAAUGGCUUUUUKCYGCGGUAAUACGGAGGAUCCGAGCGUUAUCCGGAUUUAUUGGGUUUAAAGGGAGCGUAGGUGGACAGUUAAGUCAGUUGUGAAAGUUUGCGGCUCAACCGUAAAAUUGCAGUUGAUACUGGCUGUCUUGAGUACAGUAGAGGUGGGCGGAAUUCGUGGUGUAGCGGUGAAAUGCUUAGAUAUCACGAAGAACUCCGAUUGCGAAGGCAGCUCACUGGACUGCAACUGACACUGAUGCUCGAAAGUGUGGGUAUCAAACAGGAUUAGAUACCCUGGUAGUCCACACAGUAAACGAUGAAUACUCGCUGUUUGCGAUAUACAGUAAGCGGCCAAGCGAAAGCAUUAAGUAUUCCACCUGGGGAGUACGCCGGCAACGGUGAAACUCAAAGGAAUUGACGGGGGCCCGCACAAGCGGAGGAACAUGUGGUUUAAUUCGAUGAUACGCGAGGAACCUUACCCGGGCUUAAAUUGCAUUUGAAUAUAUUGGAAACAGUAUAGUCGUAAGACAAAUGUGAAGGUGCUGCAUGGUUGUCGUCAGCUCGUGCCGUGAGGUGUCGGCUUAAGUGCCAUAACGAGCGCAACCCUUAUCUUUAGUUACUAACAGGUCAUGCUGAGGACUCUAGAGAGACUGCCGUCGUAAGAUGUGAGGAAGGUGGGGAUGACGUCAAAUCAGCACGGCCCUUACGUCCGGGGCUACACACGUGUUACAAUGGGGGGUACAGAAGGCAGCUACCUGGUGACAGGAUGCUAAUCCCAAAAGCCUCU